UCCCUGGAUGGCUAGUGGUUAGGCCACAGUGCUCUCACUGCUGUGGUCCAGGUUUGAUCCCUGGCUAGGGAA